CAGCCGCCGCGGUAAUACGUAGGUGGCAAGCGUUGUCCGGAAUUAUUGGGCGUAAAGCGCGCGCAGGCGGAUCAGUUAGUCUGUCUUAAAAGUUCGGGGCUUAACCUGGGAACUGCAUUUGUGGCUGGCGGGCUAGAGUAUGGCAGAGGGGGGUAGAAUUCCACGUGUAGCAGUGAAAUGCGUAGAGAUGUGGAGGAAUACCGAUGGCGAAGGCAGCCCCCUGGGCCAAUACUGACGCUCAUGCACGAAAGCGUGGGGAGCAAACAGGAUUAGAUACCCCGGUAGUCCCUGUCUCUUAUAC
rnacentral:rRNA from 1 species